AGGAGUUGGUGAGCUUUGAUUGAAGGCUUCUUGAAGGCUUUAAAUGGACUCUUGAUUAGGGAUGAAAAGUUGGCUUGAGAAACCCUUUCUCUUUUGAAUGCUCUUGAAUGCUCUUCAAAUCUCUUUCUUUCUCUUCUUAAUGUCUUGCAAAUCUCUUGUAUGUUUCCCACCUUUUGAAUCUUUUUAUAGCUAUAAGAAAUAGAGAAAAAUAUUCUAGGC
rnacentral:lncRNA from 1 species